GAAAUGCGAUAAGUAAUGUGAAUUGCAGAAUUCAGUGAAUCAUCGAAUCUUUGAACGCACCUUGCUCUCCUUGGUAUUCCUUGGAGCAUGCCUGUUUGAGUAUCAUGAAAUCUUCAAAGUAAAUCUUUUGUUAACUCAAUUGGUUUCUACUUUGGUAUUGGAGGUCUUUGCAGCUUCACACCUGCUCCUCUUUGUUCAUUAGCUGGAUCUCAGUGUUAUGCUUGGUUCCACUCGGCGUGAUAAGUUAUCUAUCGCUGAGGACACUGUAAAAGGUGGCCAAGGUAAAUGCAGAUGAAACGCUUCUAAUAGUCCAUUGACUUGGACAAUACUUUUAUGAUCUGAUCUCAAAUCAGGUAGGACUACCCGCUGAACUUAAGC
rnacentral:misc_RNA from 1 species